GGCCGACGCAGCCGCGCAGCCUCCGGGGCCAGGCCGUGUGGCCCGCUGGGGACUGGAGUCUCAACGACGCGCACACGAGAAGUAAGGAGCGGAAGGUGGGAAAGGGCCGGAAAACACACGUUCCUCCGAAACCGGUUUGCAAGUCCUUGUAGAGAGUGAUAGAUUCGUGUGGCCUUUCAAAUGAUUGUGAAGUGGUGGAAAUGGAUCCAAAAUAAUAAGUGACUUCUCUACCAAAGCAUAGAAGAUUCUUCAUAUCUCCUUCCAGUGGCUCAAUUUAGAUUUUGGGAAGGAGCAGAACAAGUGAAACACAGAAAACUGAAGAGAAGAAAUCCUCAUUUUGGACCUAUAUUUCUCCUUGACUAUUUCUUAAUAUCCAUCCUACCCAUCGUUCUAAUGUUUUAACUUUGCUCUGAAUUUAUAAAUAGUAAAGGCCAAAGACAUAGAAUAUACAUUUAGUAGCUUUAUACCAAGAAAUUUGCCUUGAAAGCUGCUGUUCGUGGAGGGAAAAGUGUAGCAAAUUCCUGUCUAUUUUUAUUUUUUAUUUUUUUUUAACAAAGACAAGAUUUAUGUCCCUAGAUUUUGAAGGUUAAGGCAAAUAUAAAUACAUAUCUGCACACUAUUUUUUAGCAGUUGCAUGAGUAAGAGUAAUGAGAUUUGUAUUUUAAGGACUUUGUCAUGUGGAUGUUUUGGAGUUGACUGCUCAGAUCUUUUAUAGGGCUUUAAUAUUUUUGAUCUAUUACCUUGAUGACAUUAUUUGUCCACACUUGAGCCCAUCUGUCUUUCUAGCUAUGACCUUGUUAUGAACAGUAUUUGCACUCGGUGCAAAUAUCCAUGUCUUACCUAAUUAAGC
rnacentral:lncRNA from 1 species